CUUAGACAAGGUCAGCCUGAGCCUGCUUUGGGCAUACCCUGGGGAAGAUAUGGAUUCCUGCAAUGUUUUGGACUGUGAGUACAUCAGGAUGAAGAGUCUGUGUUGGUGUUUGUGGUGUACAGGCUUCUGAUUCAGGCUCCCCUUGAAUACAUUAAGGCCACUAUAAAGUUUCCUAGAGCUUUCUCCAAGAUGAAUCACACCAACCCUCCCAGCUUCUUUUCAUUAAAGAAGAGGUGCUCCAGCCUUCUGAUCACCCUCCUGGCCCUCCUCUGGACUCACUCUAACAGCUACUGACCAGUUCAUGUUCAGAGCAGCUUUCAAAGGUACAGAAAUCCUGUUUGUGUCAAUUUAUGAAUGAAAAAUCAACUUUCGGUUUGCAAUUUUCUUCCAAAGGUAAGGGACCUUAUUUGGAAAAUUCUCAGAAGAGGUGCCUGAGACAGUCGAGAUGAAUUUUCUCUUGAAAAUGUCGGAAUAACUCCCUGGAGUGAGUCUAAGCUGUAAAGUGAGCCUUCAUGGGCUCUAAAUCCUUGAGUCCUAUGUUUGGUGACAAAAAGGACUGUGGUGGUGUGGUCACUCUCUGCCCCUGCUCCAUGGGUCCCUCCCAUCCUUCCCAAACUGUUCCCAUGUGUGCUUCUCACAGGCUGCAGCUCUUCAAGCAGUGCUCCAGCAUGGCUCCAUAACACAAGGCCAAUCCUUCAGGCACUGCUCCAGCACUGCUCCCCAUGAGUGGCAGCUCCCCAGCCCUCCUGCCCCACCAGGGGAUCCUCCUCAUGGGCUGCAGCUCCAGCCUUGUCUGCUCCUGUGAG
rnacentral:lncRNA from 1 species